rnacentral:rRNA from 1 species
UACGGGGGGGGCAAGCGUUGUUCGGAAUUACUGGGCGUAAAGGGCUCGUAGGCGGCCAUUUAAGUCUGAUGUGAAAGCCCACGGCUCAACCGUGGAGGGUCAUUGGAAACUGGAGAACUUGAGUACAGAAGAGGAAAGCGGAAUUCCACGUGUAGCGGUGAAAUGCGUAGAGAUGUGGAGGAACACCAGUGGCGAAGGCGGCUUUCUGGUCUGUAACUGACGCUGAGGCGCGAAAGCGUGGGGAGCAAACAGG